rnacentral:rRNA from 1 species
ACGAACUGUGCGAACGUUAUUCGGAAUCACUGGGCUUACAGGGUGCGUAGGCGGCUUGUCAAGUAGGGUGUGAAAGCCCCCGGCUCAACCGGGGAAUGGCGCCCUAAACUGGCGAGCUAGAGUGAGAUAGGGGUGUGCGGAACUUCCGGUGGAGCGGUGAAAUGUGUUGAUAUCGGAAGGAACGCCGGUGGCGAAAGCGGCACACUGGAUCUUGUCUGACGCUGAGGCACGAAAGCCAGGGGAGCGAACGGGAUUAGAUACCCCGGUAGUCCUGGCUGUAAACGAUGAGCACUAGCUAGGAGGGGCGUAUGCCCUUCCUAACGGAGCGAAAGUGUUAAGUGCUCCGCCUGGGGAGUAUGGUCGCAAGGCUG